UACAGAGGUCUCAAGCGUUGUUCGGAUUCAUUGGGCGUAAAGGGUGCGUAGGCGGCGCGGUAAGUCGGGUGUGAAAUCUCGGGGCUUAACUCCGAAACUGCAUUCGAUACUGCCGUGCUUGAGGACUGGAGAGGAGACUGGAAUUUACGGUGUAGCGGUGAAAUGCGCAGAUAUCAGGAAGAACACCCGUGGCGAAGGCGGCUCUCUGGAACGCAACUGACGCUGAGACGCGAAAGCGUGGGGAGCAAACAGG
rnacentral:rRNA from 1 species